rnacentral:rRNA from 1 species
GUUAUAGGAUCAAGCGACUAAGUGCAUAUGGUGGAUGCCUUGGCGAUCACAGGCGAUGAAGGACGUAGUAGCUUGCGAUAAGCUGCGGGGAGCUAGCAAACAAGCUUUGAUCCGCAGAUUUCCGAAUGGGGCAACCCAACACCGCAAGGUGUUAUCACUCACUGAAUACAUAGGUGUGUGAAGCGAACCGGGUGAACUGAAACAUCUCAGUAACUCGAGGAAAAGAAAUCAACCGAGAUUCCGAAAGUAGUGGCGAGCGAAAUCGGAUGAGCCUUCAUAUUUUAGCAAUUUAGAUAAUCGAACGGAUUGGAAACUCCGGCCAUAGCAGGUGAUAGCCCUGUAGAUGAAAUCUGAUUUGUGGAACUAGGUAUGAGAUAAGUAGGGCGGGACACGUGAAAUCCUGUUUGAAGAUGGGGGGACCAUCCUCCAAGGCUAAAUACUCGUGAUCGACCGAUAGUGAACCAGUACCGUGAGGGAAAGGCGAAAAGAACCCCGGAAGGGGAGUGAAAUAGAUCCUGAAACCG